rnacentral:rRNA from 1 species
CCUACGGGAGGCAGCAGUAGGGAAUCUUCGGCAAUGGACGGAAGUCUGACCGAGCAACGCCGCGUGAGUGAAGAAGGUUUUCGGAUCGUAAAGCUCUGUUGUAAGAGAAGAACGAGUGUGAGAGUGGAAAGUUCACACUGUGACGGUAUCUUACCAGAAAGGGACGGCUAACUACGUGCCAGCAGCCGCGGUAAUACGUAGGUCCCGAGCGUUGUCCGGAUUUAUUGGGCGUAAAGCGAGCGCAGGCGGUUAGAUAAGUCUGAAGUUAAAGGCUGUGGCUUAACCAUAGUACGCUUUGGAAACUGUUUAACUUGAGUGCAAGAGGGGAGAGUGGAAUUCCAUGUGUAGCGGUGAAAUGCGUAGAUAUAUGGAGGAACACCGGUGGCGAAAGCGGCUCUCUGGCUUGUAACUGACGCUGAGGCUCGAAAGCGUGGGGAGCAAACAGGAUUAGAUACCCUGGUAGUCCACGCCGUAAACGAUGAGUGCUAGGUGUUAGACCCUUUCCGGGGUUUAGUGCCGCAGCUAACGCAUUAAGCACUCCGCCUGGGGAGUACGACCGCAAGGUUGAAACUCAAAGGAAUUGACGG